UUGCUAGUAAUCGCGGAUCAGCAUGCCGCGGUGAAUACGUUCCCGGGGAUUGUACACACCGCCCGUCACACCAUGAGAGUCGGGAACACCCAAAGUCCGUAGUCUAACCGCAAGGAGGACGCGGCCUAAGGUGGGUUCGAUAAUUGGGGUGAAGUCGUAACAAGGUAAC
rnacentral:rRNA from 1 species